GACUCCAUCGCCCAAUGGAUAAGGCGCUGGUCUACGGAACCAGAGAUUCUGGGUUCGAUCCCCAGUGGAGUCG
rnacentral:tRNA from 1 species